rnacentral:rRNA from 1 species
CCCUUAGAUGUUCUGGGCCGCACGCGUGCUACACUGAGUGGAUCAGCGGGUCAGGUUGCGCGAAAGUGUUUCCUAAUCUUGAAAUCCGCUCGUGAUGGGGAUUGACGGUUGCAAUUUUCCGUCAUGAACGAGGAAUACCUUGUAAGCACGGGUCAUCAUCCCGCGCUGAAUACGUCCCUGUCCUUUGUACACACCGCCCGUCGCUCCUACCGAUUGAGUGGUCCGGUGAGGCUUUGGGAUCUGAGCGGAAAGAGCGUUUCGCUGUUUCUGCUCGGAAAACUCAGUCGAACCUUAUCGUUUAGAGGAAGGAGAAGUCGUAACA